rnacentral:pre_miRNA from 1 species
GAUUGAUGUUAUUCGGUAUGAUCUAGAAUAAAAAUUAUCACCGGGUAGACAUUAAUCAU